rnacentral:rRNA from 1 species
UCCUACGGGAGGCAGCAGUGGGGAAUCUUCCGCAAUGGACGAAAGUCUGACGGAGCAACGCCGCGUGAGUGAUGACGGCCUUCGGGUUGUAAAGCUCUGUUAAUCGGGACGAAAGGCCUUCUUGCGAACAGUGAGAAGGAUUGACGGUACCGGAAUAGAAAGCCACGGCUAACUACGUGCCAGCAGCCGCGGUAAUACGUAGGUGGCAAGCGUUGUCCGGAAUUAUUGGGCGUAAAGCGCGCGCAGGCGGAUAAGUCAGUCUGUCUUAAAAGUUCGGGGCUUAACCCCGUGAUGGGAUGGAAACUGCCAAUCUAGAGUAUCGGAGAGGAAAGUGGAAUUCCUAGUGUAGCGGUGAAAUGCGUAGAUAUUAGGAAGAACACCAGUGGCGAAGGCGACUUUCUGGACGAAAACUGACGCUGAGGCGCGAAAGCCAGGGGAGCGAACAGGAUUAGAUACCCUGGGUAGUCC